CCUACGGGAGGCUGCAGUCGAGAAUCAUUCACAAUGGGGGAAACCCUGAUGGUGCGACGCCGCGUGGGGGAAUGAAGGUCUUCGGAUUGUAAACCCCUGUCAUGUGGGAGCAAAUUAAAAAGAUAGUACCACAAGAGGAAGAGACGGCUAACUCUGUGCCAGCAGUCGCGGUCAUACAGAGGUCUCAAGCGUUGUUCGGAAUCACUGGGCGUAAAGCGUGCGUAGGCUGUUUCGUAAGUCGUGUGUGAAAGGCGCGGGCUCAACCCGCGGACGGCACAUGAUACUGCGAGACUAGAGUAAUGGAGGGGGAACCGGAAUUCUCGGUGUAGCAGUGAAAUGCGUAGAUAUCGAGAGGAACACUCGUGGCGAAGGCGGGUUCCUGGACAUUAACUGACGCUGAGGCACGAAGGCCAGGGGAGCGAAAGGGAUUAGAUACCCUUGUAGUC
rnacentral:rRNA from 1 species